rnacentral:snoRNA from 1 species
AUUCCAUGAUGGGGACAUUCUAGGAUGUAGUCUUGGAAGCGCUCCCAUGCUUCUAGAACAGAUUCAUCAUGUUGUUGCUGAAAACAUGUUUCCCACGGAGAGC